rnacentral:rRNA from 1 species
GACGAACGCUGGCGGCGUGCUUAACACAUGCAAGUCGAACGGAAAGGCCCUGCUUUUGUGGGGUGCUCGAGUGGCGAACGGGUGAGUAACACGUGAGUAACCUGCCCUUGACUUUGGGAUAACUUCAGGAAACUGGGGCUAAUACCGGAUAGGAGCUCCUGCUGCAUGGUGGGGGUUGGAAAGUUUCGGCGGUUGGGGAUGGACUCGCGGCUUAUCAGCUUGUUGGUGGGGUAGUGGCUUACCAAGGCUUUGACGGGUAGCCGGCCUGAGAGGGUGACCGGCCACAUCGGGACUGAGAUACGGACCAGACUCCUACGGGAGGCAGCAGUGGGGAAGAUGGCACAAGGGGCGGAAGCCGGAGGCAGCAACGCCGCGUGUGGGAGGACGGCCUUCGGGUUGUAAACCGCUUUCGCCUGUGACGAAGCGUGAGUGACGGUAAUGGGUAAAGAAGCACCGGCUAACUACGUG